rnacentral:rRNA from 1 species
GUGCUGGGCACUGACAAAUGCCAAAAAAACUACUGGCAAUACUUCGUGUGGUGUCACAAAUUUCUUCCUGGGAAAAAAACUUUUUACACGGUGGGCUUAGCGGCCACCUGUUGGGCGAUAUGGUUGGCGCGCAAUCGAGCUACUUUUGAAAAGAAACAAAUCAAGACUCCUUUUGAGAUUGUGUUCUCUCUAUGCUCUUUUCUGCUUUACUGGACAUGUUUACAGCAAGGGGAUGCCGCCAGGGAGCUACGCACAGGAGCGGAGAUGAUCAACGCUAGCACAAUGCAGCUGAUGAAGAUGUGCGAUGCCGCCAAGCAAACGAUCCAAGGUGCCUGA